AACGAACGCUGGCGGCAUGCCUAACACAUGCAAGUCGAACGAGACCUUCGGGUCUAUUGGCGCACGGGUGCGUCACGCGUGGGAACCUGCCCUUAUGUUCGGAAUAACUCCCCGAAAGGGGUGCUAAUACCGGAUAAUAUCUUCGGACCAAAGAUUUAUCGCCUUUGGAUGGGCCCGCGUUGGAUUAGCUAGUUGGUAGGGUCAAAGCCUACCAAGGCGACGAUUCAUAGCUGGUCUGAGAGGAUGAUCAGCCACACUGGGACUGAGACACGGCCCAGACUCCUACGGGAGGCAGCAGUGGGGAAUAUUGGACAAGGGGCGAAAGCAUGAUGCAGCAAUGCCGCGUGAGUGAUGAAGGCCUUAGGGAUGUAAAGCUCUUUUAACCGGGAUGAUAAUGACAGUACCGGGAGAAUAAGCGCCGGCUAACUCCGUG
rnacentral:rRNA from 1 species